AUGCUGUCUGUUACAAGCUGUCCUUUCUGUCUGUACCCUGUGGUGCGUGUGGAGAGCGGUUCCGCUGCUGUCGGCUGGUUAAACCCUGACCGUGUCUUAAUUGAUCCAAGCAUUCUUCUCCCCACAGACUGUGUCCUCAAUGAAGAGAACUUUUCCAUGAAAUGCACCAAGCACAAGAACAAGUCAUUCAAAAGCCCUCCUGGGGGUCGAAGAGAAGACAGGUGACACAGCCUGGAGACCAUCUGAAUACUCAUGAUGGUGUUCAGCUAUGGCAUUUUGCAAGUUAUCUCCUGUGAGCCUGGUAACAGUGGAAUGGACUGGAAUGCUGUCCUCUGACAGCUGCGCUGGGACAGAAUGCAACCACCAACUAACCUUAACUGGUUUUCUACUCUUUCUGGAACUGGUCUGCUUUCUUCACCGCUUAGUGUUCUUGUCUGCACAGUUUAGGUUGUAGACCACGGCUGUCCUAAUGUCCUGUUACCUCUCAGUCCUUCACGUGGAACUGGACUGGCAGUGCAGGCUGCUUCAUGGGCAAAUGACUGAACCGAAUACAGGAAAUUGGGUAAACCAAGGUCCCCAAUAGAUAAGUGUUUUCAUGUCAUGAUAGCAUGCUCAAAGUGCUAUCAAUUUGUAGUUAUUUAUUAACAAAAAGGUUUGUCCCUUUUAAAAAAAAAAAUA
rnacentral:lncRNA from 1 species